UACGAAGGGUGCAAGCGUUACUCGGAAUUACUGGGCGUAAAGCGCACGUAGGCGGCUUUGUAAGUUAGAGGUGAAAGCCUGGGGCUCAACUCCAGAACUGCCUUUAAGACUGCAUCGCUUGAAUCAUGGAGAGGCGGGUGGAAUUCCGAGUGUAGAGGUGAAAUUCGUAGAUAUUCGGAAGAACACCAGUGGCGAAGGCGGCCCGCUGGACAUGUAUUGACGCUGAGGUGGCGAAAGCGGUGGGGAGCAAACAGG
rnacentral:rRNA from 1 species